rnacentral:rRNA from 1 species
UACGGAGGAUCCAAGCGUUAUCCGGAAUCAUUGGGUUUAAAGGGUCCGUAGGCGGUCUUAUAAGUCAGUGGUGAAAGCCCAUCGCUCAACGAUGGAACUGCCAUUGAUACUGUAAGACUUGAAUACUUGUGAAGUAACUAGAAUAUGUAGUGUAGCGGUGAAAUGCUUAGAUAUUACAUGGAAUACCAAUUGCGAAGGCAGGUUACUAACAAGUUAUUGACGCUGAUGGACGAAAGCGUGGGGAGCGAACAGG